rnacentral:lncRNA from 1 species
CUUCACUGGAUACAGAACUCAGACUCAGAAGCAAAGAGAAAGGCUACAAUGCCAAAACCAAAAGUAAGCAGACCGGUUCUUUCACUAAACCUGGACACUUUGAAUGGCCAAAUAAGAAAGGUAAGCACUGCAAAGAGGCGCUGAAUGAUCAGGUUAAAGCAAAGGAGGAUUUAAACUCCCUCCAACUGCAACAGGGAAUACCUGCUACUCAUCACUCUGUCUUUAGCUUAACAUCUGAUGACAAAUGGCAAUAAGACAAUUAGAGAGAUGCUGCUUCUCUUGACACAAACUAUAAAUACCCUACUAAAUGGAGAAGCCCAUGUAAGGUUGCAUUAAGCUCUCAAAAAUCAGAAAAUGCCACAAUUAAAGUCCCUUGAUCUUUAUGUCUUCAAUAUCAUUAAAGCAAACAAUUAUGUGACCACAAACUCCCACCACAAUGAAUAACGUUAAUUUUUCUAUACCUUUCUAUAGUUUUACAUACCUUUCUAUAAAUUUACAUACUUUGAGGGCAUCUGAUGGCAUUUAUUGUUUCUCGCAAACGUGGAUGUUCAAGUGCAAGUAGAUAAAUAGGUACCACUCCGGCGGGAAGGUAAAUGGCGUUUCCGUGCGCUGCUCUGGUUCGCCAGAAGUGGCUUAGUCAUGCUGGCCACAUGACCCAGAAAAACUGUCAGCGGACAAAUGCCGGCUCCCUCGGCCAAUAAAGCGAGAUGAGCGCACAACCCCAGAGUCGUCUGUCGUUUUAAGGUAAAUGUUGGAACAGAAGAUAGUCUCCCCUUAUUCAUGUAUUCAAAAGAACACAUGUGGGCCUAAGCCUGUUUCACCCCCUCGCCCUUCUGCAUUCCCAAACGUUGACGCUGCCAGUCACAAAGUGAUUUGCAAGUGCAUCCACUUUGAAGCCCCUCAGAGGUGGAAAAGGUGUGCGUGGUACCAGGAGAGCACUGGCAGUGAGGGUGGUGCAUGCACACACAUUUUAUACACUUUGUGCCCACUCACAUUCUUCCAAACACAUGAAUAGAGCUUUCGUUGCUUUGUUUCUACGUCGCACCUUUAAGCCAUCGUUCAAGAUACCCAAAUAGGCAACGCCUACUUUGUUAGCCUUAUGAAACACAAAAUGUCUUGGAAUACAAUUUGUCGUAACAUAUUAUCAGUUUAAGUGACAGGGAGCUGUGACUCAUCUCCACUGCCUUGCACAGUGUGCUCUGUUCUCCUGUAGCUCAGAAACAAAAAGACAGGUAUGAGAUGCUUAUGUAAAAGUAAACAAGAAGACUUUCAAGAAGUCAAUGUUUCCAUGAUUUCUGAGAGGAGAUAACAGCCAGCUGCUUAUUUUUCACUGCAGGGGAGUCUGCUCUUCCUGGCGAAAUAUCUCUACUUGUUGUGGUCUAGAGGAGCUAUGCUGUUACUCAUGGUGGUACCUCUGGUGGGGGACACACCAUGCUCCUUCCAGGGUAGUUUGUUCGCCUUCAUCCCCAUCCUGCACUCAGCUCUCACCUGCAGCUCCUAGAAGCUGUUAGCAGGUGUGGCUGUCUCCAUCCCCUCUGACUAGCUGUACCCACAGUGAACCAGACUGAGGUUUCCAGCUCAGUGCUUUCCAAGCUACUCUCCACUGUAGUGGAAUUCCACUGCACUCCAUCACCAAAUUCUGGCCUUUCUCAGCUUUCUAGAACAGAUGGCACAUUGUAAACCUCCCUCCAGCAGCUCCUGCAGCCAAGCUGGUGCCAAACGUAUUGCUCUGCUUUCCCUUGGACCCCAUCAGCGGAGUCUGUAACCUGAAGUGUCUGUAACCCAACGUACCACUGCAUACAUGAUUUUAUCUUUUGUUUUUACAGUGGUGCCUCGCAAGACGAAAAACUCGCUAGACGAAAGGGUUUUGCGUUUUUUGAGUCGUUCCGCAAGACGAAUUUCCCUAUGGGCUUGCUUCGCAAGAUGAAACGUCUUGCGAGUUCUUGUGAGUUUGUUUCCUUUUUCUUAAAGCCGCUAAGCCGUUAAUAGCCACUAAUCCGCUAAGCCGUUAAUAGCCGCUAAGCCGCUAAGCCGCUAAUAGCCGCUAAGCCGCUAAUAGCCGUGCUUCGCAAGACGAAAAAAUCGCAAGACGAAGAGACUCGCGGAACGGAUUAAUUUCGUCUUGUGAGGCACCACUGUAAUGCUUUAAUGUCUUAAUUUCAAGAUUCAUUUAUUUUCCCGCUGUUCCAUUUAUGGUGUGAUCUAUACAUUUGAACUCCUGUCAACCUAGCAGUUCGAAAGCAUGUUAAAGUGCAAGUAGAUAAAUAGGUACCACUCUGGUGGGAAGGUAAAUGGCGUUUCCGUGCGCUGCUCUGGUUUCGCCAGAAGUGGCUUAGUCAUGUUGGCCACAUGACCCGGAAAAACUGUCUGUGGACAAAACGUCGGCUCCCUCGGCCUGUAAAGCGAGAUGAGCGCCGCAACCCCAGAGUCGUUCGCGACUGGACUUAACUGUCAGGGCUCCUUUACCUUUUUUAUACAUUUGAAUGCAUUGGGUGGAUUUUGUAAGCCAUAUUGAAGGGCAGCUGUCUGCCACUCAAUGUGGAUAAGCCCUUGUCCUUUUUAUGGUUUUUGGUGCUUUGGGGAGGGGGUAGCUACAUCUGGUGUUGGGCCAAAGAGACGUAUUAGGGAGGCUGUUCUUGUAUUACCUAUCCUACUGUUCAACCACCUCUCUGGUGUUUGAGGAACCUAGAACUUUGGGUGACUUCAACAUCCACAUGGAAGAUGUCUCAGGUCUGGCUCAGGAAUGACCUCUAUGCAUAGGGGACAACAGCUGGUAAAGCAGACAGAACGGGAAAAAAUACUCAAUUUGGGGUUUUAACAGUCCUUGCAUUAGUUGUGCUGUUGUUGCAUUCCUUUUUCCAUUCAGAAGCUUCACAGUAAUGGAAUUAGGAGCUCAGGUUACAAUUAUGACUUUAGGCAAAGAUGUAAUGAUUAUAAAUGUCAAUUUUUAAUUUCCAAAUACAAGAGUUCAUGCCUCAGCAGGCAUUAGCAAAUGACAUUCUGGAAACAAGCAAUUAAUUAAAGUAUCUGGCAUCCAGAGGAGUAAUUUUCUUUUGACAAUACUAAAAAUCAGCCAUGGCAAAUGUGAAGGGGGAAAAACACACAUUUCCAUUCUUAUUGUUACAAAGCAAGUAUCCAAAUACUGCUGCUGUACAUGUUGUCAUGACUAGAGAAGAUUCCGUGUUUCCAUUUUGAGAAACAGAAACGGGCUGCUGCUACCAAGAAUGAGACAAUAGCAUUUUUUUGUGUGGUGCUUCAACACUUCCUCAAGCCGCAGGAAAUUCCAGGGCCUGCCGCUACAAAGUCCACUUCCUUAUGAUGAAAGUGUACAACAGACAGAUGGUGUUAUUGAUGUUAUUUACAAAUGUGCACGUUGGUUGGAAAGAAGGAAGCAGGCACACUCCCUGGCAAUAUUAGUAUUCAAAACAGUAUCGAGAACCAACCCAAAAAAGAAGGCCCCAAAGAAACGAAUUGCUACUGGGAAAUGAGAGAUUAGGAGGAUAUGGGGGGUGGACAAGGAGCCCCACAGAGAUCAGGGACAUUAUUUAAGAAGAUAUGUCCGUUUCUGCAAUAUAGAAUCAUUAUUCUCUAUAAUAGCAACAGCAAUUGUGUAGGUUUUUUUUUUAAAAAAAUAUACUUUAUUGAUUAAUCUCUUGGUGCUGAAUGACAAUGUCAAUAAAAAAAAUGUUUCUCACACUUGAUAUUGGCAAUUGGAGAAUUCUCUCCUUUGCCUAAGGAGCCAAGAGGCACAAUUCAGGGAGAUAAUGCCUCUAUCUGCCAUCUGUUCAGAGUGCCAAAAUCCUCUUAAACAGCAUCAGUACUAUCCUAAACCUUAAGUCUCCCAAGUGUCUCAAAUUAGCAUGACUAGAAAUACCAACUAAUAAGAAAUAGCAAUGGUCCCAGAACGCAGUAGGUCCCAGAAUGAUCGUCAGGGGUUCAGGUCAAAUGCCCAUGGUCCCAGUCAGCAGAAUGAGCAGGAGAUGCCGGAAAUGUAAGUAAGUAAGUAAAUGUAAAUGCCCCAAAUGUAAGUAAGUAAAGAAACAACAGUAAAAUGGUUCCAUCUAAAAAGGGUGUGUGUCUAAGGUCACCAAGUCUGGUGUCAGAAAUUGCCUAGCCACGCCAUUGCCAGGAUGUAAAAACAAAUGGAAGAGAGCCCUGAGGCAAGACAACUGAAGUAAAGGAGAGGAACACUCAAUCCUAACAGGGCUCUGUUUAAAACAAUGCCAACAAGUUUUAUAAGUAAUAAUUCUAAAUAAUAUAAAAAAUAAAGUUCAGGCUAUGAUUAGGGAUCAGGAGAAGAUGGGAUAGCCACAGACAAAAUAUGUCAAUACUCCAUAUUUGUUUGGACAAGGGUACAGAAACCUCCAAGUAUCCAAGCUAAAAAGGUAAAGGUACCCCUGACCAUUAGUCCAGUCGCAGACGACUCUGGGAUUGUGGCGCUCAUCUCGUUUAACUGGCCAAGGGAGCCGGUGUACAGCUUCCGAGUCAUGUGACCAGCAUGACUAAGCCGCUUCUGACGAACCAGAGCAGCGCACAGAAACACCGUUUACCUUCCCGCCGGAGUGGUACCUAUUUAUCUACUUGCACUUUGAUGUGCUUUCAAACUGCUAGGUUGGCAGGAGCUGGGACCGAAGAACGGGAGCUCACCCCAUUGGGAGGCGGUGGAAAUCAGGAUUCUCUAUCAUAGGGGAGUCUAUAUGAAUAGAGCUGUGCUGAAGAUGGUUCCUUGUGGCUUGUGGAAGGCAAAGCAGGGGGAGAAGUGUACAAUAUAGGGGGAGCAGACAUUCUCCCCAUACCAAAUUCAGCACUUGGGCUUCUUAAAUGAAAGCGUGUGGGGAGAGGGUGUUGCUACUUGGCAGAAUGAAGGAAUUAGAAUAGUCAAGGACUGUGGCUUGGAGACUUGCCUAUAAUAAAUGGAAGGAUAAUCUGUGCUUUUCUCAGAGUGAAAAGAGGCUGGAUUGAAGCAUAUUGGGGUGGGGGUGGCCCAGGGCAAAAUGUAGGUUCAAAUCCCCACUCAGGGUGACUUUGGGACUGCCACCAUCUCUCAGCCCAACCUACCUCACUUGGGUUGUUGUGGAGGUAAAAAGCAAAAAGGAAGGGGAUUUAGCUAUGACGAUAUUUGGUUGUUGUUGUUGUUAAAAAAUCUAGAAUGGGAGGGGCUUAUUGUUUUGUUGUUUCUGUUUACAGUGGUGCCCCGCAAGACGAAUGCCUCGCAAGACGGAAAACCCGCUAGACGAAAGGGUUUUCCGUUUUGGAGGUGCUUCGCAAAACGAAUUUCCUAUGUGCUUGCUUCGCAAGACGAAAAUGUCUUGCGAGUUCCUGCGGGGUUUUUUCCUCCCCCUUUUUCCCAAUCCGCUAAACCGCAUAUCAGCUGAUGGCUAAGCCGCGUAUCAGCUGAUCUUUAAGCCCCUUACCAGCUGAUUCUAAGCCGCUUAUCAGCUGAUCUUUAAGCCGCUUAACAGAUGAUGCUAAGCCGCUUAUCAGCUGAUCUUUAAGCCGGCUAAGCCGCUAAUACUGUAGGGCUAAGCCGCUAAACCUCUAAUGGGCUUGCUUCGCAAGACGAAAAAACCCGCAAGACGAAGAGACUCGCGGAACGGAUUCUUUUCGUCUUGCGAGGCACCACUGUAUUUGUGUUUUUAUCUUGUAUUUUCAUUUUGUGAACUACUCUUGAGAUCUGACAAAGAGUGGAAUAUAAAUCUAAUAUUGGGAGCAAAGUCUAGCACACAUUAGGUACGAGAAAAGCCCGCCAGAAACCCUCUGGGGCUGCAUUGCAUGUUCAGUGAGAAAAGACUAUAAUAUGCAUUAGGUAAAUUAGGUCUCUGUAUUUUGUAAUCAAAAUUACAAUAAUGCAGUUAAGCACCUUGGGCUCUACUUUGAUUGGAAUAAACCUCUGAGGUCCUCCUGGCACAGAACUCGGUUGGCCAGGUUCAAAGGCAGCAACCCUGUUCUGAUAGGAUACAGCAAACUAGUAAUUAGUAAAUUGUCUUAAUUUAUACAAAUAUAAAAUCAUUUCAUUAACUAUUUUGAUAAAUUAAAUUGCAAUAUCACAGAAUACUAGUUAAAAGCAUUUCUAGUGUGUAUUAUUUCAAAAAAUAGCAUUUGCUGUUGAUGCCUUAACCAUAUAUGUCAUAUGAUUUACUGCAAUGUGAGUCACAGAAUCCAUUUAGGAAUUGCUUCAAGCUUUUAAUAAGAGCUGAGAGAGAUUAAAUUAAAAACAAAGAUCCACAGAAAUUUCUUUAGCCUGGGUGAUUUGGUGCCUCUGAAUUGCAGCAAGGCUUUCCAAUCAAAGCUGUAUUUGUAAAUUUGUACAUUUCUAUCAUGGCUUUUGAUGUGGCUGUACUUAUUGACUUUUUGGUAAAUUGUUAUUUUAGCAAUCCUGAAAGUGUGUGUGGGAAAUGAAUAGAUCUUGGGGUAAUUAAUAAAAGAAUUGGCUGAAUCCCUAGAUCUAAAGUGAAGAGCUAAAACACACCCUCCAAUAAGACAGAGCCCCCAGCAGAAUAUUAAAAUCACAGAAUCAUGCAGCAUAGUGAAGCAUGAGGAAUGUAGGCUGUUAGACCUUUAAAAUAUCCUGCUUAGUCCAUUUACAGCACUUCCCCUCUCUACACUGCUUGCAAUGAACAGACUACACUGUUAGUAAGUUCAAAUCCUCAUAAACCUCCAAAGGACAGAUUCAUGAGUUAUUACAUGCAGCAGCAAGAAAAACACAGGCAGAAUUCUUGGGAUACAAAAUAUAGUGAAUAACUCUAAGUGCACGAUCUGAGCUUGUAGUGAGCAAGCUUAAACACAUCCUAUUUCAGUGAGAUCACAUGGUGAGAAAGAAUGAACAGAGGAAACUUAACUUCCUUCCAGGUGAGGGACAUGACCAGCUGAGUCGGGGGGGGGGGGGAAUUCUGUGGUUUUAACCCCUUCAUGGAUUAACUAGCCCUAAGCCUGCCCGUUAUAUUUAUCAGCAAUUUCGCACGGAGAAAUGAUGCUAACUGAUUCCUUUGGUUGGGAUUGACUCACAUGCAUUAGCUAAAUACAGGUAUUUAUGAUAAGGGAUAAGGCUUAUCCUACAGAUGGUGCAUGACUUUUAUCACUUUCCACUCAUGUUGUUAUAGAAAAGGGUUUCCCAUAGUUUUUUCUCUACAGUAAUGUCCUCGUACAAAAAUGCCCUCAGACUUCUACCAUGUGAUUUAGGUUUGACGAGGCCCUAAGCUACUGAAGGUAAUAGGGCUCUUUAUAUGUCCAGCUGUCCUUUGUCAACAACAAAUUGUCACUGUUUUUUGUGUUGAAUAUAUGCUAUAUGGUAAUUUAUGGACCUAAUAGGUAUGUAAAGCCAUUUGCGCAUAACAAAAUAUUGUAGGUUUUAUUUCAUUUAUUUUUUUAUCUUAUAUUUUGGAAAUGUACAUCCAGAUUUUUCCCCUUUAACAUUUUUGGGGGUCCCUAAGAGAGUGGGGCCCUAAGCUGUAGCUCGUUUAGUUUAUACGUAAAUCCGGCACUGCAUGUGAUGCUUUCUACUCUUUCUUAGUGGAUUGGAUUUUGGCCACUGUGGGCUACUUGCAAGGAAAGCAUUGAUACUCUUGGGGUUUAAGUUUGGUUCAUGGAUAGUUCAAUCCAGAAGGCAGCAAGGUGAAUGUAAGUCCCGGGCCAUUUAAGGGCUCCAAGACCAGAAACCUGAAUUUAUUCGUUCAUUUCCUGAUGUAUAAUUUCCCCCAUCACCAAGGCUCAAGGAAAAGGAAGUAACAAAACCCAUUUCUGUAGUGAGCGUUGAUUGGUGUUGACAUUAUAAUCAUUAUACCGUUCAGGUUAAUGGACACGACUAACUCAGGUUUAACAUGAAUAGAAUUUAGCCGAAUGACGUCUGGGUUUCUUUUCUCUUUUUUCCUGUUUUCUUUUCAUUUUUGUUGUUUUAUGGUGAUUUUAGGUUUUGUAAUGGUUUGGAUUUUGCUUUUAUUGUAUUGUAUUAUUGCUGUUUCUAUUGUAUGCUGCCCUGGGUUCUGUUUGCAUAAAGGGUGAUUUAGGAUUUUUAAAGGUAGCUGUCAGGGAACUGCCAUCGGAAGGCAGGGAGGUGAAAGGACUCAGACAGGUUGGAAGAGACUCAGCAGCUGAAGAGGGAACCAGCAAGGGGAGAGAAGCUGAACUGAGGGAGGUGAAAGGGCUCAGACAGGUUGGAAGAGACUCAGCAGCUGAAGAGGAAACCAGCAGGGGAGAGAAGCUGAACUGAGGGAAAGGGAGCUGGGGGAUGGCUCAGAGAUACUUCCAGCGAAAACAGUGGUGAGGUUUCCGGACCUCCUGUAGGGACACCCACUCCUCGCCGGAAACUGUCACGCAGAGAGUCCAGAAGACGUGUUUCCGUUAAGGAGCUUUUAUGUUGGAAGCGAUUACGAAAGCAACCACUGUCGGAAUCUUCUAGUGACUAGAGGAGCCAUGUCAGAGGGGCUCAGUCACAGACAGAGGUUUGUGGACUUGAACAAACUCUGAGGGAAUACGAUUUUACGCACAAGCAGCUCAUCUUCCCAUCACAGCAUUCCGACAGUCUUUGAACGCAGCUUGUGCAGGAGAAGGCAUAAUGAGCAACCCAGCAGGAACCGGAGAAGCAGGGGCUGGAGCGGGUCCAAGCCUGGAAGAAAGGUACCGGGUGUUGGAGGUCCAGCUGGCGCUGCAGACGGCGAGGCUGGAGGAGAGGAGGGCUCAAGAUGCAGACAAAGGGAGAAAGCCACCCAGCUCGCCAGAAAGGUACCAGGAUUGGUGCAGAAAUUUGGGGGGGAGCCCAAAGACUAUCAUAGCUUUCGGACAGAAAUGCAAUAUGCCCUCAAUCUGCAGUUUGAUGAUUUCCCUGAUGAGGAAUCACGAGUGGCUUUUGUGAUUGGGCAUCUUGAAAAGGGGGCGAGAGACUGGGUUAGACCCCUGAUGGCAGCGCAUAGUGACGUCCUAAAGGACACGAUGAAGUUCUUUCGCGCCAUGGAUCUGAUGUUUUCCAGCGAUAUUGAAAAGGGAGUGGUGCGCAGACAGUUAAUGGCUUGCAAACAGGGGAGCCGAUCUGUACGUGAGUACUGGACUGAGUUCACCAUGCUGAUACACAGAUUGGGGUGGGACUUAUCGGCGGAACCCAUUCAAAUGCUCUUUGAAGAAGGGCUUUCUUCGGCUGUGAAAGAUGAACUUUCCCGGGCGCCCAGGGCGGAGUCUAUGGACCAGCUGACCAAAUCAGCGCUGGCCAUAGGAGCGCGCCAGGAGGCGAGAGCAUUGGAGAGGCGGGAAGGGAAAGGGGAACGUUGGAAGGAGUUCCGCAUUCCAGACAUUCCAGAGCCAACUUUCCCGCCGGCAGAGCCGAUGGAAAUCGGAACAGCGCGCGCGCGCAGUUUCAAAGCCCAGUGAGGGUGGAAAGAAGGAGGGAAAAGGCGCCCGGAAAUGCUAUCUCUGCCAACAGCCAGGGCACUUUGCCAGAGUCUGCCCCCAGAGGAAGGAAUGGCAAGGGAUGGUGGGAGCUGUGGAGGGAAGAGAGGAAAAAUACCGGAGCAACUAAAAGCCAACGCCUGGCUGCCAUUGUCGGGCACAGCAGCCAGGCCAAAGAGCAGUGAAAGUGCCCACGCCAGAACCUCCUAAACCCGCCCUAGUGAUAGAAGUGACACUAGAGCUGCCAAACGGACACCCUCUAAAGAUAAAGGCGCUGUUGGACUCAGGCAGCUCCUGCAAUUUCAUGAGCAAAGAGUUUGCAGCUGAACACCAGAUACAGACGCUCCCUGUAAGCAACCCCCUGCAGGUAACCACGAUCGAUGGCAGGGAGCUGUUGGGAGGAGAAGUCAGCUUGCAGACCGUCCCAAUGAUAAUGAAGGUGGCAAGGCACACCGAACUAAUAGCAUUUAAUGUGGCCACCUUGGGAGGAGCUCCCAUUAUAUUGGGGAUGAGCUGGCUAGCGUUACAUGAUCCGCUGGUGGGCUGGCAUCAAAGAGUGGUUUCUUUUGGGUCAGCACAUUGCUUAGAACACUGCAAAGAGGGAAAGGUUUUGGCAGGGGCCCAAGCCACCCUAGCAGGGACUGAAGUAACGGAGAACGUGAAGGUACCACGACAAUACGCAGAUCUCCGCGACGUCUUCAGCGAAAGGGAAGCUGAUCAACUACCACCGCAUAGAGCCUUUGACUGUCAAAUCAAUUUGCUCCCUGGGGCACAGCUCCCUGUGGGCAAGCUGUACGCCAUGUCAGACAGAGAGAUGCAGGAGCUAAGAGAGUUCAUUGACAAGAACCUGAAGAGAGGGUUCAUCAGAGAGUCCAAGGCGGUGGGGGGCAGCCCAGUGUUUUUUGUGGCCAAAAAAACACGAACAAGCCGAGACUGGUGUGUGACUUCAGGGCCUUAAAUGCAGUGUCAGAACCAGUGGCCUUCCCGAUGCCCAGGAUUGACGACAUUUUGACAAGGGUGCGGAAGGGAAAGAUUUUCACCAAGCUGGAUCUAAGGGGGGCGUACAACCUGAUACGAAUAAGGAAGGGGGAUGAAUGGAAAACCACCAUGUUCACCCCUUUAGGGGCAUUUGAAUACUUAGUUAUGCCCUUCGGUCUACAAGCAGGCUCCGCAACAUUUCAAUCGUUUAUGAACCACGUCCUGGGGCCGUUGCUUUACAAGAAUUGUGUGGCCUUCUUAGACGACGUGUUGGUGUAUUCUGAGAAUGAGGAGCAGCAUGUGAGAGACGUCAGAGAAGUGUUGAGCAGGCUGCAAGCCAACCAGCUGUGGGUGAAACUGGAGAAGUGUCAGUUUCAUACCAAGGAGGUGGAAUUCCUGGGGUAUCGCCUGUCUGACAAGGGGUUGGCCAUGGAUCCCGGCAAGGUCCAGGCGGUACUGGAAUGGAAAACACCCAAAACAAGGAAGGAUGUGCAGAGGUUUUUAGGAUUUGGGAACUUCUAUCGUAAGUUCAUCCCAAACUUUGCCCACCUGACGGCGCCCAUUACGGACUGUCUCAGCAGUAAGAAGAAGUUCGUUUGGACGGAGGAGGCGGAGCAAGCAUUUGAGGAACUAAAAGGGCCUUCGCCUCGGAACAACAGCUCCUGCAUGUGGAUUUACAAAAACCGAUGAGAGUGGAAACUGACGCAUCAGACAGAGCGGUUGGGGCGGUGCUUCUCCAGCCAGGGAAGGAGGAGUCAGAGUGGAGACCGUGUGCUUUUUUUCGCGAAAGCUGAACAAAUCCGAGAGGAACUACACGGUGUAUGACCGAGAACUACUAGCCAUUCAUGAGGCGUUCCGGAGAUGGAGGCACCUGCUAAUUGGCGCACAACAUAAGGUGCAAGUGUGCACUGACCACAAGAACCUAGAGUAUUGGAGGACGGCACGAGUGCUCAACCAACGGCAAGUGAGAUGGGCCCAGGAAUUCUCCAAAUUUAACUUUGAGAUUUGUUAUGUGCCAGGCCCAGAGAACAUUAGGGCGGACGCUCUCUCACGCAAACCUGAAUAUUUGGAGGGGGAGGGAGCACCUGAAGAGAGACAUGUCAUUCCAGAGGACCGCUGGGUGUGUGGGGCGGCAUUGGUGGGACAAAGAGAACUGGUAGAAGAAACAGAGAAUGAUGAAUACGCCCAGAAUAAGCUCAGAGGUCUUAGGGAUGAGGGAGAGGAAUCAAGGGGUUUCGAGGAAAGAAAUGGAGCUUUGUAUUACAAAGGGGCACUGUAUAUCCCUGAAGGAGACUUAAGGGGGAGGGUACUCAAGCAGUUGCAUGACAGCCCCACGGCGCGGCACUCUGGGCAACACAAAACCAUGUGGUUGGUCACCAGGGAAUUUUGGUGGCCUAAGGUGAGGGAGGAUGUACGUGAGUAUGUAAGAGGGUGCGAGCAGUGCCAGCGAGCCAAAGGGGAAAGGCGGGCGCCGGCGGGGCUAUUAGAACCCUUACCAACACCAGAACGACCUUGGGAGGCAGUGUCGAUAGAUUUUAUGACUGAUCUGCCGAAGUCCAAAGGGAAAACAGCCAUCAUGGUGGUGGUAGACCUACUAACAAAGAUGUGCCACUUUGUAGCUUGCUCGCAUGCAGUCACGGCGGAAGAGACAGCGAAGUUAUUUGUAGAACACAUUUUUAGGUUGCACGGGGUGCCAUUGAGGGUGGUCUCAGACCGAGGAAAACAAUUUACUUCCAGGUUCUGGAGGAAGCUCAUGAGCUUACUGCAGGUGGAGGUCAACUUUUCGACUGCCCGGCACCCUGAAACCAACGGGCAGGCGGAAAGAGCAAACGGUGUCCUCCAGCAAUACCUGAGGUGUUAUGUCAAUGACAGAGAGAAUGACUGGGUAGAAAAGUUGGCGCUGGCGGAAUUUGCCUACAACAAUGCCGAGAAUGUGUCCACAGGGAUGAGCCCCUUCUUGGCUAAUUAUGGGUGUCAUCCCAGGGCUUUCCCAGGGGAGAAGGGGAGAGAUGGAGCGUACCGGCAGCCGAGCAUUUUGUAGAAGAAAUGGAAGCAAUCCACCGUCAGCUCCAACUCAACUUAGAAAGGGCGAAGGAAGAAUACAAGAGGCAGGCAGACAAGAACCGAAGGGAAGGUGAAACCAUAAGGGUUGGAGAUAGGGUGUGGCUGUCAACCCGAGGGUUGCCGUUCAAAGGAGGUUGUAAGAAAUUAAGACCCAGGAGGUUGGGUCCCUUUGAGGUCAUUCAACAGGUCAACCCAGUGGCUUUCAGGCUCCGGUUACCCAACCACAUGAAACUGCACCCAGUAUUUCACAGGUCGUUACUGUCACCGUACGAGGGGGGACGAGAAGGGAUGGCCACUGGGACCGGUCAUAGAAGAAAGAGAAUGCAGCAGUCAUGUGGCAGAAAUCCUUGAUGCCAGGUGGAAGGGGAAUCAGGUGGAGUAUUUGGUAGCGUGGGAAGGAGAACCGGAGUCAGAAAACACGUGGGUAAUGGCCGAAGAUAUCAAUGACGAGGUAUUGAUAGAAACGUUCCAUCAAAGGUUCCCGAGGAAACCUCAGCCUGUGGAGAGGUUCCGGAGGGAAUACUUUGGGACCACUGAGGAGGAGGAGGAGUUGGAAGGAUUCCCAGAAUCGGAAGGGGAAGGGGAGAUGGACUCGGAGGAGGAGGAGUGCUUCGAGACCAGGAACCGCAACAGGUGGAGAGAAGUGUUCGAGACAUCGGAAGAUGAAGGAAGUUCAUUCCGGGUUUUGCCUCCUCACCGCCCGUAGAGGAGGGGGCGAGAGGGGGUGAAGGGGGCCCUGGAGGGGAGGUGGAUGUCAGGGAACUGCCAUCGGAAGGCAGGGAGGUGAAAGGACUCAGACAGGUUGGAAGAGACUCAGCAGCUGAAGAGGGAACCAGCAAGGGGAGAGAAGCUGAACUGAGGGAGGUGAAAGGGCUCAGACAGGUUGGAAGAGACUCAGCAGCUGAAGAGGAAACCAGCAGGGGGAGAGAAGCUGAACUGAGGGAAAGGGAGCUGGGGGGAUGGCUCAGAGAUACUUCCAGCGAAAACAGUGGUGAGGUUUCCGGACCUCCUGUAGGGACACCCACUCCUCGCCGGAAACUGUCACGCAGAGAGUCCAGAAGACGUGUUUCCGUUAAGGAGCUUUUAUGUUGGAAGCGAUUACGAAAGCAACCACUGUCGGAAUCUUCUAGUGACUAGAGGAGCCAUGUCAGAGGGGCNNNNNNNNNNNNNNNNNNNNNNNNNNNNNNNNNNNNNNNNNNNNNNNNNNNNNNNNNNNNNNNNNNNNNNNNNNNNNNNNNNNNNNNNNNNNNNNNNNNNCUCAGACAGGUUGGAAGAGACUCAGCAGCUGAAGAGGGAACCAGCAAGGGAGAGAAGCUGAACUGAGGGAGGUGAAAGGGCUCAGACAGGUUGGAAGAGACUCAGCAGCUGAAGAGGAAACCAGCAGGGGAGAGAAGCUGAACUGAGGGAAAGGGAGCUGGGGGAUGGCUCAGAGAUACUUCCAGCGAAAACAGUGGUGAGGUUUCCGGACCUCCUGUAGGGACACCCACUCCUCGCCGGAAACUGUCACGCAGAGAGUCCAGAAGACGUGUUUCCGUUAAGGAGCUUUUAUGUUGGAAGCGAUUACGAAAGCAACCACUGUCGGAAUCUUCUAGUGACUAGAGGAGCCAUGUCAGAGGGGCUCAGUCACAGACAGAGGUUUGUGGACUUGAACAAACUCUGAGGGAAUACGAUUUUACGCACAAGCAGCUCAUCUUCCCAUCACAGUAGCCAAAAUCAAUAAACUAGAAUUAGACUCUAUUUAAUUCAGUGAUGUUUCGCUAUGCUUUCUGAACUAUAUUCUGGGUUCAGCCACAGAAAACACCUCUCCUUGCACGUUUGCUGACUGAACCGGAUGCACAGACCUUAUCAUAACAUCAUACGCUUUAGUGGAUCAAAACAGGAAGUGGUCUCUCAGGUAUGUUGGGCCAAAGCUGUUUAAGUUACAACUAGCAUCUUAAAUUGUCUCCAGAAGGCAGUGGAAGAAAUUCAAAAGUUCCAUUUCCCUUCUGUUUAGUUGCUUUCUAUUGUUUCCUGAUCUUCUGAACUUCUGAGCUUGUGCUGUCCCCUACUGCGUGGGCAGAAUGAGGAAUUUAGGAGCAGGAACCUACGUUAAUUAUGAGUAUUUGUUUCAUUUGCAAGGCUUUCCACACACUUCUGCUGCUGCUGCUGCUUCCACCCUCCUCCAGCAUGUCUUACCAUUUACUUCCUUUAAGCCCACUGUUCCCUGGACCAUGGUUUUUUGAGGAAUUUUGGCAUUUAAAAAAACCCAUCAGCUGGGACAAAGCUUCAUUGUUCUAAGGCUUGAGCAGGGAUGGGGUAGGUGGGUGGGUGGGAUUCAGUUCAGUUCAGUUAAGAUUUUCAUGCAAACCUAUUUAAUGCACACUUCUAGAAUAAUAUGUGAAUUGAAACACAGCUAUUCUUCAAAAUCCACAUUUCUGAAUUUUUUAGCGCAGUUCUCCAACCAAAGAACACAUCACAAAAUGUACAUUUUAGGAAGACAGUGUGGAUGAGAAUGCAUGCCUUACUGGAAAUAUGUUUGUGUGUGUGUAGGGAUUUUAUUUGCUUGCAAAAAUCUGCGUAUUAGACAUAAUUCUAUGUAGAAAUGAACAUUCAAAUGCUGAUUGAUUUUUGUGAGGACUUUUUGCAGGGAGUGGGGGCUGUUGCAAAAUGAUUUGGAAAGGUGGUGAACUGAAUAUAGGAAAAAUGAGAGUCGGAGAGAAACUAAAACUAACACAUGUGUCUGUCCUUAGCCUUGAGUGUGAGCUUCCUUAUCCCCAUUCUCUAUCUUUCGCUAAUCACACUUAAUGCACAUUAUGAAAUAAAUUCCUUUUAGAAGGCAUACUUAUCAAUAACAUGUAGAGACACAAAAAUAACUCUGUUCAGAUGAAAGCUAAGGACCAACAUGUCACCCAGCAAUUGUAAUAGGGAAAUCUAAAAGCAAGGUUGCCAUGGAGAUUAGUUCUCUGGCCUCUGAUCCAACAGGUUAAAGCCAUUUAGUUCAACAAUAUGCAAUCCACAGUGGAUGCCAUGCAGCUGUCAAGUGCUUUGCCUCCGCUAAUGGGAAAAUAACUUAAAAAUUAACAGCAUGCUUAACUUUAAAUCAGAUGUAUGGAAAUCACUUUGAAAUAGUUGAAAUAGGUGACCUGUAGGGCUGGUGCUUUUACUGAAAGACUGUAGAUUAGAGCUGUGUAAAACAACCAUAUCUCUUCAAUAACGGUAGUUACGGCAUUUGCUUUAAUUUUGGGAAAGGCUUGAGAUUUAAAAAAUAUAAAACACAUGUGAUUCCUCAUUUGACCAUUUUUUGCCUUCCUCAAGAGUACCAAGGAACAGUUUUGUGGUGUUAAAAACCAGGGUGUGUGUGUGUGAAUUGAUGGGUGAAUUGCUAUGUUGGCUUUGGCUACAUUGGAACUGAGAAUGUUCAGGAGUACCCAAAGGGACUUGUGUAAUAACAUACAUAGGAUGUUAAAUUCAAUUACAAUUUGGUUUCCACAAAGACCCAUGUUUUGUUUUGCUAUCUGAUGUGGCUGAAGCAAAUGCGAUGAACUACAUAAGUAGAUUUGUAAUUAACUUCAGUGAAUUCUGCAUCAAAAACAAUCCAGAAAAUGUAAUUAUUUACAUAAUAAUUUGUGGACUCAAGGAUUGAUGGUACUGAAUCCCGCUCAAAUUUGCUUGGGUGGUUUCUGUUCCUGACCUUGGAUGUACAUGUGAAUUGCAGCCAUUUCUGCCUGACAUGAGUGAGCCAGCAAUAAAUCACAGGCAUAAUGAGCACAGGAACUAAUCCCUGGUAGUUCUUGCCCUAUGGAUCAGUUGCUGAGACUAAAGGUCCCUAUCUCCCCACAGCUGUCUAUGUCUUCUCCUGCUAAGGGCUUUCCCCAAGCAAUCAGAGACUAGGCCUGCAUGCUUGUCUAUGCUCCUCCUACUUCAUGCCUCUUCUGGUUCCAAGAGACCGUGGGUAGGGACUCUUCAUCAGCCUGACUCAUCUCUGUCUCUUGACAUCCCCUGCUUUGGCCUUUGCCUCUGAUUCCAGACUUCUCUCUACCAUAGCCUCUCCCAGCUCCUUAAGCCCUGCCUGAUACAUCUUCAGCUUCCCACACCUUCUCUUCCCAGUCUUCUCCCUUUUCUGCCUCUGUCCACUCAUGGUUGUCCCACCACUACUCCACGGAGUCUGAGCCUCCUUCCUUUGGUGGUUCCCCACCUGGUUGCUCCCACCAUUCCUCUGUGUCCAACCAGUCCAUGACAUUGCCCCAUUUCCAAGGGAGUUCUGCAACACCACUAUAUUAUAUAUGAGUGAGACAAGGAAGCCAGCACUGGUUGAGAUUGUAGGUAAAGGUAAAAGGUAAAGGACCCCUGACCGUUAGGUUCAAUCGCGGACGACUCUGGGGUUGCGGCGCUCAUCUCGCUUUACAGGCCAAGGGAGCCAGCGUUUGUCUGCAGACAGUUUUUUCGGGUCAUGUGGCCAGCAUGACUAAGCCGCUUCUGGUGCAACAGAACACCAAAACCAGAGCAGCGCCCGGAAACACCCUUUACCUUCCUGCUGGAGCGGUAUCUCUUUAUCUACUUGCACUUUUUGGCGUGCUUUCAAACUGCUAGGUUGACAGGAGCUGGGACUGAGCAACAGGAGCUCACCCCGUUGCAGGGAUUUGAACCGCCGACCUUCUGAUCGGCAAGCCCAAGAGGCUCAGUUGUUUAGACCACAGCGCCAUGCAGCUUUGUGAAUCUUUAUGGAGUAGACGGAACCCCUUUGUACUUUUCUGUGAAGUUGCUUCCAUUGCUGAGGAGGCAACUGGCUUUUUAACUUCCUCAGCAUACAGCAUGAACUGGAAACUUCAGGGGAAUUUCUAGCUCUCUAGCAUUUUCUCUCCUUAUUUUGAAGGGGUUGGAGGUUGGCUGAGAAUGCAAACCAGGGUCCAGUGGUGACCGCUUGGUCAUUGUUUAAACCCCACCAACCUGAAUAAUUUUUAUCAGGUGAUUUCUGGACAGAUGCUUAAGUGGGAAGGCUUUGAGGGCAAGGUGGAAGAAAAGGCACAUUUAAUUGUUUAAAAAUGACAAUUCCUAGGGCUUUUGUGUUUUAGCACACAUUGUCUUCGAUAAGCUGCUUUAUAAUUUCACAGUGACAGUUAAAUUGAGGCACCAUGUUACCUUAGUUACGCAGUAUACUUCAAACAAUAAUAGCUUAAAUAGCAGCAUGAUUAUAUGACAGCAGGCAAGGAACCAUAAAGUGACCUUCUAGAUGUAAAUGCAGAUCAAAUAGUUGGGCAGGGGGAUGUGUGUAGGAAGGAAUUACUGACAUACUUAGGCACAGAUACCUUCUUGGGUGUAGAUGGCAUGCAUUUCACAAAGAGCCAUGAAAAAUAGUGCUGUUCUGUAGAUGUAAAUGUAAAAGAGCUUGUGCUGUGGUCCACUUAGUGCAUUAACAUUUAUUUAUGUAAAAUAUUUUUCAGCCUGUCCUUCACCACAACAUGAUUUCAGGAUGGGGAACAGUGAACAUUUAAAACAAUAAGCCAAAGCACAAUUAUGAACAAGAAAAGUGGGUGAAAUUAACAAAGAAUCCAGUAACAAUAAUGAUAAACACACACACACAAGCCUGCUGGAAGAGGAGAGCUUUCAAGUGAUGCUGAAAACACAUCAGAAUUAAAACUAGCCAUACAUCAAAAGGGAAUGUUCUCCAUAAGUGAGGCAGAGUAAGCUGUCUCCCAGGAUUGAACUUAGUACUUUUUACAUGCAAAGAAAGUAUUCUGCCACAGAAGAGUGACAGCCCUUUCCCUAGCAGCCUUUCUCAAACUUGAGUUCCCAGAUGUUCUGGGGCUACAACUUCCAUCAUUCCCAUCAUCAACUCCCAUCAUUCCAUGGUCGGCAGUCAGAGAUGAUUGGAGUUGUAGUCCAAUAACAUCUGGGGACCGGCUUCCAGAUCUGCUCUGCCUUAGUGGAGGCAGCUCCCACAACAGCAGGAGAUCUUUGGUGAAGGGAAAAACAAGGAUGAUUGAAGGUAAUGAUCCUUGCAAAUUCCCCCCAGGGGCAGGGGGAACGGGCUUCACUCACAGUUCAUUUAGCUACCUGGUUCUCACUCUGGCAUGGAAUGUGGGAGGCAGGGAGGCGCUGAGUGCAAAAGCACUUCACUGGCUGAAAACUCUCCAAUGGCGCCAUUAAGAAGCAGAGGUUCUCCUGUUAAUUAGAGUUUAAUUGAUUAAAGUACAGGCGCAUGCUAGAAGAGAUGAUAUAAUAAACUGGGGAACAAACCAGCUUGCAAGGACUUUAAAGUUUGAACUUGCGAUAAGACUUCAUUUGAUGCAAAAGAUGGUGAGGAGGGGAGGGGAGUCCACAGUUUCUUCUCUACAUUUAUGAUUUGGCAACCCUCUUCUGAAUGUUAGUUCAAAUUAUAUUUGUACAAGUGAGGAUGUUAGAAAUUGGUUUAUAAAUAUGGAAUAUAACAUCAAAUGGAACUGUGUGUGUAAAAAAGGGGAAAAGGGAGGGAAGCUCCAUUUUGCAAAAGGUUUACAAUGGAAACUUAGAGCUGACUCUUCCCAAUCUUUUAUUAUUUACGAAGUGACUUGAAUAACACUAAGAGGACUUGGAAUUUAAUUUAAUUGGAAGUAUAAUUGCUCAUAUAUCUUCAGCUGGAAGAGGGAUGAAGGGAGUCUGUGAACUGCCAAGGAACUGAUAAGGUUCUUUGUUGAGUCAUCUGCAGUUUGACAGACCGCUCUAAUUCCUAGCCUGAGAGGAAAAAUGGUGACAACAGUUGUUGUUUUCCUGGGACAAAGCAACUUUUGCAGCUGUUGUUAAAGUUCUCGGUGCAAAACAACAAAGUACGGGUUGGAGCAAAGGAGAAAUUUUUGGAACAACAAUGGGAUAUCACCUCUGCCCAAGGCAUGGCAUAUAACAGCAACAAUCAGGGGAACAAAAGACAUAACAUCAUACAUGGACAGGAAGAUACACCAUGGGCAGAAUAAUUGCCACACACAGGAAGAAUACAGAUAUAGUUUGAGUUCCUCACUUGCAGUUUUAUAAAUUAUUUAAUGUGUCAACACGAAUAGAAGUUAUUAAUAUUGCAGUUGUUGUAUAAGGGAUUAUUAUUAUGACCGGAAUGUAAUGGAAAUUAAUAAGAUUUUGGAACGCAGAAAUAAAUAAAAUAAUCAAACCAUCAGCAUGCGGGAGGCCACUUUAGCUAAAUUAUAUAAUUUGGCAUUUGAAUGAUUGGUAUUACUAAUUGUAUUAUAAAUUGGUAUUGUUAUAAUGAGACUAUUAUUGGACUGUACAGUGGUACCUCGGGUUACAUAUGCUUCAGGUUACAUACGCUUCAGGUUACAGAUUCCGCUAACCCAGAAAUAGUGCUUCAGGUUAAGAACUUUGCUUCAGGAUGAGAACAGAAAUCGUGCUCUGGCGGCACGGCGGCAGUGGGAGGCCUCAUUAGCUAAAGUGGUGCUUCAGGUUAAGAACAGUUUCAGGUUAAGAACGGACCUCUGGAACGAAUUAAGUACUUAACCCGAGGUACCACUGUAAUUGAAAACUAAUAAAUAUUUUUAUUUAAAAAAACACACAUCCAGGGACCCAAGUUUUAGAAAAACUGUGAAUACUUCUGUUCACGGUUCUAGCCAGCCAGUCAUGUCCUCCUUCAGGAGAAUAUGGGCUGAAGCAACCCAUUAUACUAAGCCCUGUUUUGUGUUUUUCUUUUCCAACUGACAUUUUGCAUUCAGUGCAAGUUUCCUCAAUCCUCACUGGGCAGUGGUGUUUAAAUCUGUUACUCCACAGUAUUCACAAUAUCCGCUUUUUAACUUUUGCAAACUUUGGGGCUCUCCUAAGGAUGCUGAUGCCCCCCUCUUGUUUCUUGGGGGGUCCCAUUUUGGCUCCAGUCAUAUCACCUUGAAACUCACCACCUGAGCUCACUAAUAAAGGGAGUGAUAUGCCCCUAUGUUUUGCUUUUGCAUCCAACAAUAUAUCUGAAAAGUCAUUCAAGGCCAUUCAAAGUUUUCCUGAUUUUGCAUAUGUAGGUCUGAGAACCAACCAAUUUUACUUGAACAGAAGCAGCAGUAUCUCUUAGAAGCCUUUACUGGGUAACAUAAGCUAAUCUUUAAUAAUAAUAAAUCUCACAUAAUUGGGUUCUUCAGCUUCUUGUGCUUAGCCAGCCUACAGAUUUUUCUAUUUGUAGAUAAAGUAAACACUACAAAAUGGAGAAAGGUGAAGAAUUAUACUGAGGAGAAAUAUUACACACACACACUUCUACAUCUUUCAUUCAAGCAAGAACAUUGAUUUCAGCGUGUGCAACUUCAAAAUUCAAUUUAAUUUCCCAUUGGUACUUACAUUAGUAGAUAAUGAUUUUGAACCUCUUCCAAGGAGAAUUUUCUUCCGCCACAGGUUUGUUUUGGUGCUAUUUAUUGCUUCAUCAAAUAUGUUGUUCAGAGAUAUUACACCACAACAUGAGAAUCACUGCUUCCACUCACAAUCUCUUUCCACCCCACCUCCCAUUUUACAUUAAGUGAUAGUUUUGAGCAGUGAGGUGGUUUCUGUGAAUCCUUCACUAAUGCCUUUCCAGAAAAUGUUUUCUUUGCUCCCUAAAUUAUUGAUUGGGCUAUUAAAGGUCUGAAAUAAAACUUUAAUUAGUCAGUAGAAGCUUUGCAAAGUAUGACCUGCUAGAAUCAUGCGAAUGUAUGUGAGCAGAGAUACUCAUCUGACUAUAGUACUUACCCCCAGGCAAAUGAAAAACACUCAGCCCUGAGAGCAAGAAAACAAAGAUCAGUUGCAGAUUUGUAUUGCUUUGGCAAAGAUGCUUUUUAGGUGCUUGAGGAAGGUGCAUUUAUAAAGUGCAACGAGAGAUUAUCUAACUCAUUUGCUCUGAUGCUUUGCAUUUGUGUUUUGCAACUGCUGUUGGAGUACACUUUCCUGGUUUUCCUGGUCAUGGCCGAUACAUUCAGUUUAUGUAAUCUGAACACUUAUGAAUACCUAUAAAGUUGCAAAAUCUGGCCUUUUAUGUUCAUUUCCUAGACUUGUUUACUCAAAACCUUGCUCUAUAAUUCUGCAGAAAGCACUUUUUGUCCCCAAACGGAGUGCUGUAAGAGGCUGAGUCUGAGGCCCAUGUGGGAGAACUAGAAAAAAAAGCUGAGCAUAUAGCAUCAAUCCUGACUUGACUGCAUUGGCUGCCAAUUAGUUUCCAAGUCCAAUUUAAAGUGUUGGUUUUGACCGACAAAGCCCUAAACGGCUCAGGACUACAGUACCUCAAGGACUGCCUUUCCACGUAUGAACCGACCUGGGUCCUGAAAUUACCAUCCGAGGCCCUUCUUUGUGAGCCUUCUCCAUUUGAAAUCUGGAGGGUGGCAACACGAGGGCGAGUCUUUUCUGUGGAGGCUCCCCACUUGUGGAAUGCUCUCCCCAGGGAGACUUGCCCGGCCCUUUGUUACAUAUCUUUAGGCGCCAGGUGAAAACAUUCCUGUUCUCCCAGGCCUUUGUCUAAUUAAUCUAUGGCCUUUUAUGGUGCUGGAGGAGACUCUUGAGAGUCCCAUGGACUGCAAGAAGAUCAAACCUAUCCAUUCUGAAGGAAAUCAUCCCUGAGUGCUCACUGGAAGGACAUAUCCUGAAGCUGAGGCUCCAAUACUUUGGCCACCUCAUGAGAAGAGAAGACUCCCUGGAAAAGUCCCUGAUGCUGGGAAAGAUGGAGGGCACAAGGAGAAGGGGACGACAGAGGACGAGAUGGUUGGACAGUGUUCUCGAAGCUACCAGCAUGAGUUUGACCAAACUGCGGGAGGCAGUGGAAGACAGGAGUGCCUGAUCCAUGGGGUCAUGAAGAGUCGGACACGACUAAACGACUAAACAACAACAACAUGGCCUUUCAAACUCUGUGUGUGGAGUCACUGUUUUUGUUUGUUACUAUGGUAUGUAUUUUUGUGUUUAUAUUGUUACAAAAGCUGGGUGUGUGCCAUAGCUGUCAACCCUUUUCUUGCGAGGAAUCCUAUUUGGAAUAAGGGAAUUUCCCUUAAAAAAGGGGAAACGUUGACAGAUAUGGUGUGUGCCCCUCUCUUUGCCAAGUGGUGGCAAGAGCCCAUGGGAUCGAAGACACACACACACAUGGUCUGUGUCCCUUUGGAGACUGGAAGACAGAGUGGAGACUGCCAUGCUUUAUUCACCUAUUUACACCUUCAGUCUGCGUGGAGUCUGGAUCUUACGACAGGCACAUUGCCAGAGGCAGCAGUGCUGGCCACCUUUAGGCUGCUUCCUUCAAGGAUGAAUCCCAGCUUGUCUCCCUCCUCCUUCCUCCCAGAAACCUCUGCUCCAAAACACACCCAUCACAUUGGCACCCUUCAAACCCCUGUCUCUGUUCACACCUCAGGGCAGGGGCGAAACCCUCUUGUACUGGAAAAUACCCUCAAUGGGCCUUCACGGCUCUACUUGACCAGGCUGGUUUGCAUAAGGCACCCCAGGAAUUCCCUGUAUUGCACAGCUGUUCAAUUGGUUCCUUAAUCCAUAUCCCAAUCAAUCAAUAUCCUAAUAUUUAUUCAUUCCUAGGGUUUAUUAAUUUCUAGGGCUUACCCUAAAUCUAUAACAUUAUUGUUAAAUGCCCUGUUAUCUUUGGAUGAAGGUUGGUGUAGAAAUUUAAUAAAUAAUAAUAAUAAAAAAAUAACAGUUGACUGUUGUGCUGAGUUCCUCUUCUGUGACAGGAAAGAAUCACACAGAUUGAGACUAUGAGAAAAUGACUGUACAUGACACACGGCCUCUGGACUCAUCUUUAUCCAGUUCUCAACCUGGAUAAAGCAUGGGAGAAGCAAACAGUAUCCCUUUCCUAAAACUGUUCUAUGACUAAGCCAAUGUGUCCUUCUCCUCGUUCAUACAAACCAUGUGUGGUCCAAAUGGAAAGAAAUUUUGCUCUUUAUUUGAGGGGGUGGGUGGGUUUUGAAGUGAUGCACACUUAAGGACAGGCAUUACACAACCAUUUGACUAUAUGCUGUAAAGGUAAAAAAAGGUAAAGGACCCCUGGACGGUCAAAGGUGAGGUGACUAUGGGGUUGCAGCACUCAUCUUGCUUUCAGGCUGAUGGAGCUGGCUUUGUCCACAGACAGCUUUCUGGGUCAUGUGGCCAGCAUGACUAAACCACUUCUGGUGCAACGGGACACCGUGAUGGAAACCAGAGUGCACAGAAAUGCUGUUUACCUUCCUGCUACAGUGGUACCUAUUUAUCUACUUGCACUGGCAUGCUUUCGAACUGCUGGGUUGGCAGGAACUGGGACAGAACAACGGGAGCUCAAUCCGUUGUGGGGAUUCGAACCGCCGACUUUCCAACUGGCAAGCCCAAGAAGCUCAGUGAUUUAGACCAUAGUGUGACCUGUGUCCCUCGCUAUAUACUGUAUAUAAAGUUGAAUUUUUAAUAAAAACUGUUCUGUAGUCUCUCUUUUGCUUUGAAAUGUGAAUUACAAAACAGUACUAAUAAGCUGACUAAUAAAUCAUUGCUUUAAGCAAUGGUGCAUUAUGAGAAAUGAGUUAAAUUAUACCACAAACUCUAUUGUUUUCCCCCACAAACAUAAAUACAUGAUACAAUGCAUCUGAUUUCUCAGGAAACUGGAGAUAGCUUCAAAGUGGGGGUGGAACUAAAGCACUAUUAUAGACACACACACACACACACACACACACACACAGGAGUAUUUGGCUCAGAUCACCCUUGACACACCAUUACAUUCAUACGUCUAUCUCACAUUCAUAGGAUUUGGGUUUGAUCGAGUCUUCGUCAUGGCUUAGGGUAGACCCACUGAAGUUGAUGGAGCUGAAGUCCCAUUGGUUUUGUUGGGUGUGCUCUAAUGAUGACUAAGUCUGCAGCCUUUGUUCCUCCCUGUCUUUCCUGGUCAUACCCUUCCUUUGGCUUCUGCCAUGUCUACAUCUCCUGCCUGUUCCUCAUAGUCCUUAAGUCCACCUAGUUUCCCUUGCUUGCCUGCAGUGCCUGCCAUGCACCUAAGCCUUGAUCCCUACUUGCACUCAUUGCAGGGCAUGGUCUGAAGGCAUCUGAGGGACUAUCUUGCUGAAGCUUAGGAGCCCCAGGUCUGCUCACUUCCGAAAGGGCUAACCUCUUGGGAAAAGCAGAUAUGCUGCUUGGGGUUCCAUGGUGGAAGAAUGAUGAUCUAGAAAUGUAAGAAAAUAAAUAAAUUGAACUGAAUAUGUUGGAGUACUUGGACUAGAAACAGUUACUGUUUACCAAAAAGGUAUUUGUGUGUGUGUGUAGAUGUUUCUUCCUUGUUGCCAUGGCAGCUGCUACUCCAGCUCUCCUUGACUCUUUUAAACACCUGUUAAUCCUCUGACCUUUUCUACAAAUGGGAUCACCUGCCGUGAGGGCAGACAGUUUGCAAAAGGAUGGUAUCCUUCACUCUUUGGAGAACGGCAAUUCCUGCUGGGCUCCUGCCCCUGUUUCUAAUUAUUUCGUUGGCAUUACAUCUUGAGGGUAUUGCCAAUUAAUUUCCCAGAAAGAUCCUCUCUUUAUAAGUCAAUGGAAAAUUGUCUCAACAAUUUUUUUUCUUUCUCAUAAUAAGGGAAGUCUCCCUGUCUCUUCAGUGCCACAUCCUUGAACGCGAAAGCAUUGUCGGGAAUGGAUUUUCAGGACAUCCUAAUAUUGGGUGUGCUAUGGAUUGCUAAACAUGAUGGCUUUGAAACCUCUAUAUAUAACUGGCAUAUUUCUCCAAAAACGCCUAAACGUACUUGAAAAUGUGCGGCAAUAUCAGCUGAAAUCUUAGAUACCGAAGAGCUAUGCUGAAUAAAAUUUAUGGUGGUUGACUAUGGGGGGUUUAAUGUCUCAGCUGGAUCCUGAGGCCUCUUAAUGAAUAGGAAAAUUAGGUAAAAUUCUGCAAAUUUUCAUCCUUAAUACGAGUGACAGAAUCUAAUAUAACACCAGUCCUGAAAGACCUACAUUGGCUCCCAGUACGUAUCUGAGCACAAUUCAGAGUGUUGGUGCUGACCUUUAAAGCCCUAAACGGCCUCAGUCCUGUAUACCUGAAGGAGCAUCUCCACCCCCAUCGUUCUGCCCGGACACUGAGGUCCAGCACCGAGGGCCUUCUGGCAAUUCUUUCACUGUGAGAAGCAAAGUUACAGGGAACCAGGCAGAGGGCCUUCUUAAGAGUAGCGCCCGCCCUGUGGAACGCCCUCCCAUCAGAUGUCAAGGAGAUAAACAACUAUCUGACUUUUCAAAGACAUCUGAAGGCAGCCCUGUUUAGAGAAGCUUUUAAUGUUUGAUGUUUUAUUGUGCUUUUAAUUCUGCUGGGAGCCACCCAGAGUGGCUGGGGAAACCCAGCCAGAUAGGUGGGGAAUGAAUGAACAAAUAAAUAAAUAUUUUCCUGGAACAGAAUUUGGAUGACCUUUACCUAGAUUUUUUAAAGGCAUAUCCUUCUUUAUUGUGCAGGUUUUUGUGUGUGUGUGGUUUUUUUUUUUAAGCCAGAAAGCACAGUAAUCAGUGUGGAAGUCAGUUCCUGAGACCACAACCCCAUACACACUUCCCUGGGAGUAUGUCCCAUUAGACUCAGAAAUGGUUUGCAGCUAACAUGAAGCCAAACCGUGGCUUAGUAUGAAUGUGAAAGCUCCCAGAGAGGAGAUCAUGUCUGUUGCACUCCUACCAUCCUGCUUGCCCUGCACUGCUGUGAAUUAAGUCAUGGUUUGGCUUGCUGUGUCAUCCAAUCACAAACUCAUGGUUUGUCUCACUCCAGACAAACCAUGAGCUGUAACCAAUAUUUUUUUUCUUGGCUUUACAGCAGCUGGUUGUUUGAAGUCAGCAGUAGCAGGACUGGAGGAGGGGCAAAGUGGCCACAAUUCCCCCCCCCAUAGUGCAAGCCAGAUUAGUAAAUGUGCCUUAUUCACUUUGACUUAGCUAUAAAAAUAAUAAUAUAAUAAUAAUAAUUUAUUAUUUAUACCCCGCCCCUCUGGCUGGGUUUCCCCAGCCACUCUGGGCGGCUUCCAACAAAAUAUUAAAAUACAAUAGUCUAUUAAACAUUAGAAGCUUCCCUAAAGAGGGCUGCCUUCAGAUGUCUUCUAAAAGUCUGGUAGUUGUUUUUCUCUUUGACAUCUGGUAGGAGGGUGUCCCACAGGGCGGGUGCCACUACCGAGAAGGCCCUCUGCCUGGUUCCCUGUAACUUGGCUUCUCGCAGCGAGGGAACUGCCAGAAGGCCCUUGGCACUGGACCUCAGUGUCCGGGCAGAACGUUGCGGGUAGAGACGCUCCUUCAGGUAUACUGGACCGUGGCCAUUUAGGGCUUUAAAGAUUAGUAUCAACACUUUGAAUUGUGUUUGGAAAUGUACUGGGAGCCAAUGUAGUUCUUUCAAGACCAGUGUUAUGUGGUCUCGGCGGCUGCUCCCAGUCACCAGUCUAGCUGCUGCAUUCUGGAUUAGUUGUAAUUUCCGGGUCACCUUCAAAGGUAGCCCCACAUAGAGCGCAUUGCAGUAGUCCAAGCAAGAGAUAACCAGAGCAUGCACCACUCUGGCGAGACAGUCUGAAGGCAGGUGGGGUCUCAGCCUGUGUACUAGAUGGAGCUGGUAGACAGCUGCCCUGGACACAGAAUUGACCUGCACCUCCAUGGACAGCUGUGAGUCCAGAAUGACUCCCAGGCUGCGUACCUGGUCCUUCAGGGGCACAGUUACCCCAUUCAGGACCAGGGAGUCCUCCACACCUGCCCGCCUCCUGUCCCCCAAAAACAGUUCUUCUGUCUUGUCAGGAUUCAAUCUCAAUCUGUUAGCCACCAUCCAUCCUCCAACCGCCUAUGGGCAGGCUUGUGCUAGGAGCUCCCUGUCUACAGCUGUGUGCUCUGUAUUCAAAUUUCUGUUGCACAAUAGCUCCAACCUUAAAGACUUUCCAACAUCUGCCCUUUUGUGUUUCCUACGCUAUCAGCAGACCACCUUAUCAGCAAAAUAACAGGAACAAUAUGUUUUCCGUGCACUUAAUUAAUUAUGUUUUCAUAGUCAACAUCAGAUAACUUAAAUUGCAGUGAAAACAAAGAAUUUUAAGUAGGAUAUUUUACACAGUGUGAUGGAGGAAAGGAAGCCCUUAAGCAGUUUAUUUAAUGAAGUUUCAAAUUCUUAAUUUUGUUAAAAUCCCACAGGCACAUAGCAUAAGAGACACUAAUGUGAGCCACUAUGUAAUUAGGGCUAAUAACUAGUCUUUGAUGUGGGGGAGGGGCGGUAGGAGAAGAACUGCGGAUCCAGCUGGCCCUCUUACACCUGCAAGAAACAGAUGAUUUCCUCUGCUGAAAACUAACAGGCUAAUGACAGUAUGGAAUUAAACGAAAACAUUAAUUAAUUCCCUGUAACAGAACGCAAGGAAGGAGACCACCAAUUAAGAGGGGUUGUUGUGUGCAACUUAAAUUACGCUAACUGCUCAAAAAUCUUGCAUCGGAUGAGUUGUGUGAAUUGUGACAUUUCCCUCAUUUGUUCUGAAGUAAGAUUUUAUUUAAGUUUUUCAUACUACAAUAAAAAUAAACAGCUACAAAAAAAAAAUACAAAGAGAAUAAAUAGAAUGGGAAUCCUCUCUUAAGGGUAGUUCUUAGCCGUUUCCACCCACAGAAGGUCCCUCUCAGCUCUCACCUGGGAUAUUUCCUUUCUCCUCCCAGAUUUCCCUGCCCCCCCAACUCCUCCACCAACCAUCUCCCUCAUUGGUGUGUUCGGGGCCGUAUUUACCCGGGAGCCGAAUUCUGGGGGGCGUCAAAUGUAUACCUACUGUAUACCGGUUCCUCUCUAUCGGCGGUGGUGAAAAGCAAUGGAGUGAAAGUCCCUGCCCCCUUCCUCUGUUGCUCUGUUAAUCCGUAGCGUCAAAUAUUUCCGAUGAGUCAGGAAACAAAAGCAGUUUUUCUUCUGCUGCGUCGUUCUUAAAGGUAAAGGUAAAGGGACCCCUGACCAUUAGGUCCAGUCGUGACCGACUCCGGAGUUGCGGUGCUCAUCUCGCUUUAUUGGCCGAGGGAGCUGGCGUACAGCUUCCGGGUCAUGUGGCCAGCAUGACUAAGCCGCUUCUGGCGAACCAGAGCAGCGCACGGAAACGCCAUUUACCUUCCCGCCGGAGCGGUACCUAUUUAUCUACUUGCACUUUGACGUGCUUUUGAACUGCUAGGUUGGCAGGAGCAGUGACUGAGCAACGGGAGCUCACCCCGUCGUGGGGAUUCGAACCGCCGACCUUCUGAUCGGCAAGUCCUAGGCUCUGUGGUUUAACCCACAGCGCCACCCGCGUCCCUGUGUCAUUGUUAAAGGUGAGCUAUUCCCCCCCCCAAAAAAAGGUCAAUGUUCUUUCGACAAGAGACCUGUGGGCCCUUGGCACUAAAGUUUCUAAUAAAAGUUCUGUAUAUGUCCUAAAGAGAUAUAGGGAAGGAGGCUUUUGUUGACUUUAGGACAAUAUUGAAAUGAAAUUCUUGUUCUGGUGUUUAAUAUUUCUCUUUUGAGACUGAAAAAGUAUCCUUACUUAUAUUACUGUGAAGUGCUCUUGUGGCCCACUUAUGAUGUAAUUUUUUUAUUUCCAUGAUCCCAUUCAUUGAGUGGAUGCUACGGGUGGGGCCAGCCUAGGUAUUAUUAUUAUUAUUUUAUUGAAUUUAUAUACCACUCUAUACCCAGAGGUCUCAGGGCGGCUCACAGAAAAGAUCAACAUAAAAACCACAAUAUAAAUAAUCAAAAUAAAAACAACAACCCAAUAACACUCCCUCCAAAAGAGCCAAAUUUUAAAAGGAUAUAGGUAGCCUAGGUAGGACAAUUUCCCCCACUCUCCAAUUACGCUUCAAGCAUUCAAUUGGAAGAAUGUGUGUAAUCCCAUUUUUCACUUUUUCUGGUUCAUGUCUGUUUGUAACAAUUAAGCUGCAAGAAUAUUUGGAUGACACACUUUGUAUGGAUUACCCUUCCUUGCCCCGACUAUCUCUGCAAACAUGAGGUCUAGAAACCUAACAUGGAAAACUCCCUGCAUUUAACCUGCAGACCAUAUAAUAUCUGUUUAUGAGUUAAAUCUUUGUUAUCACUAAAUUCAGCGAAGUGUACUCAACUGUACCACAGUAAUUUAGAAGCCGUGUUUACCUUUGGAUGUGCUUUAACACUGAUUAUUUUUCAGCUUCAUGAUCUUCUGACUGCAGAGUAAAAACAAUUUUAUACAUUUGUUUUCCCAUUUUUACCAUGGCCAAUUUACUUUUAAUUAUACUGAUGCUUUAAUAGGGGAUUUCCACAAUGCUGAAUAGACAUGCCAAAUAUCCACCAAUCAAUAGAUACCAUAUUGGCCUGAAUAUAAGCCUCACUCCCCCCCCCAAAAAAUUCCGACUGUGAAAAGUUAAAGUGCGGCUUAAAUUCGUGACCUUACAAAAAUUGCCUUUUACAAAUAUCGCUGCUGAAACAGACGUAUGGCAAAAUGGAACAAAAAAAUGUUUUAUUGCUGAUUUGCGAGCUUGAGACUGUUCAUUUGCCAAUUACGGGUGUGAGUGCCUGCGGAGUUGUAACAAUUAAAUAGCGAUUUGCAAUUUUAGCCAUUGUACGGUAACUUUUGUGGGCUUGCAAGAUCAAAGGCUUAAAUUGGCUCGGAGUUACAGUUCUACCAAUUGCAGCGAUUUUUCAGCCUGUAACCCAAUUUUAAGGGAGAGGCUUAUAUUUGGGUACAGUGGUACCUCAGGUUACAAAUACCUUGGGUUACAAACACUUCGGGUUACAGACCGCUAACUUGGAAGUAGUACCUCGAGUUAAGAACAGUGGUGCCUCGCAAGACGAAAUUAAUCCGUUCCGCGAGUCUCUUCGUCUUGCGGUUUUUUCGUCUUGCGAAGCACGUCUAUUAGCGGCUUAGCGGCUAUUAGUGGCUUAGUGGCUUAGCGGCUAUUAACGGCUUAGCGGCUUUAAGAAAAAGGAAACAAACUCGCAAGAACUCGCAAGACGUUUCGUCUUGCGAAGCAAGCCCAUAGGGAAAUUCGUCUUGCAGAACGACUCAAAAAACGCAAAACCCUUUCGUCUAGCGAGUUUUUCGUGCUUCGCAAGACGAAAAAUUCGCUAGACGAAAAAACUUGCGGAACAAAUUAAUUUCGUCUUGCGAGGCACCACUGUAGUUUGCUCAUAUAUCGGAUACAUACUGCCCUGGGCUCUUUCUGAGGAAAUGUGAUUUAUAAAUAAGCAAAUAAAAUAAAAACAAUUAAAGUAAUGAACAUGAGAAGUUGGAGCUACAGAAACCAUCAAAACUUCAAAUUUUUGGCAUUAGAGGGAAAACUGGCAGAUCACCCACAAGCAAUUUUUUUUGUAGGGUUUGCAAGUAAUUUAGGGAUUUUGAAGGAAACAAGUCUAAUUUUGAUAAUAAGGUCUGCAUUUUCAAAAUAAAAAAUAACUCGAUUCUAUCUUUCAAGACAAGUUCUUCUCUCCCUCUUUUCAGACUGUAGCAUGCUGUGAUAUUCCCCUUAUUGAAUAUGCCAUCACUCCUUCCAGUUUCCCUUGUGUUUUGCUGGAUUCUACUGCUUCUAGGCUAUAUAUUACUGCUUAUUCCCUUAAAACAGUAUCAUUUCUUGGCUGUUAUGAAAGUGUGUCAUUAUUUUUAGACUUGCUAAUUGAACACGCACAUGAGGUUGAUUUUCUUAAAAUGUUCAUCGCUCUGCUAUAUGUGUUGGCAGGGAAAUGCAGUCUCUUAACUUGCAUGAGGCUGGAAGCAAACGAUGCUCUGGUUUCAUCUGCAUGGCAAUAGAUACCAUUCAGAUUAGCCAUUUCGGCAUUGGUUUAGGGACAAUGGAAUUUUUCUGAUAUUUCUCAGUAGAAUUUUGCACAUUGCUAUUUAGGGCACAAUCCACUUAGAGUUAAACAAUUCAAGAUCCAUUAAUUUGAAAUGUGUGAUAUUUUAAAAUGAAAUCUUAUAUCUUUCUAUGGAGAAAUAAGGGAUGCAGGUGGCAUUGUGGUUUAAACCACAGAGCCUAGGACUUGCCGAUCAGAAGGUUGGUGGUUCGAAUCGCCGCGACGGGUGAGCUCCCGUUGCUCGAUCCCAGUUCCUGCCCACCUAGCAGUUCGAAAGCACAUCAAAGUCAAGUAGAUAAAUAGGUACCACUCUGGUGGGAAGGUAAAUAGUGUUUCCAAGCGCUGCUCUAGUUCGCCAGAAGCAGCUUAGUCAUGCUGGCCACAUGACCCGGAAGCUGUCUGCGGACAAACGCCAGCUCCCUCGGCCUAUAGAGCGAGAUGAGCGCCGCAACCCCAGAGUUGUCCGCGACUGGACCUAAUGGUCAGGGCUACCUUUAAGUCCCAAAAUUCAAGCAAUUUCUCUCUCUCUCUCCCAGGUAAGUGGGUAUAAACUACAAUCUGAUACAGGCUACCUGUCUUUUUAGUAAGACUUUUGAGCAGAAACGUUAUGCAGGCAAUCACCAGUUUGCAUGGGGGUUGCGUUCCGGGUCAUUAUCUGUAACGCUCCCCACCCUGGCCCUGCUCCCAUCAUGCUCUGUUAUGCCUCUAUUACGCCUCUUCUGGGUCUGAAAAUGUCCUGUGCGUGCACGGUCAAGCAAUCUUUGAAUGCGUGCAAAAUGGGGGUUGCCUGUAUAUCGCCUUAACUUUGCAAUUUAAAUCAAGGAGUUGUUGAAGUGGUUACAUCUGUCUGUAUUGUGCCAAUAGAAUGAUUCUUUCUGUGCCAGCAGCCAGGGUCGGAUGUGGUGACAAUAAUUAUGCAUGCACUGAAUGGGUAACAAAUGAGGGGGGGAAAACAUUUUAUUGGUUAUGGCUCACAAUUUGGUGUGAUGUAAAGCAAGGAGCAGGGACGCGGGAGGCGCUGUGGGUUAAACCACAGAGCCUAGGACUUGCCGAUCAGGUCAGCGGUUCGAAUCCCCGCGAUGGGGUGAGCUCCUGUUGCUUGGUCCCUGCUCCUGCUAACCUAGCAGUUCGAAAGAGUGUCAAAGUGCAAGUAGAUAAAUAGGUACCGCUUUGGCGGGAAGGUAAACGGCGUUUCCGUGCGCUGCUCUGGUUUGCCAGAAGCGGCUUAGUCAUGCUGGCCACAUGUCCCAGAAGCUGUACACCGGCUCCCUCAGCCAAUAAAGCGAGAUGAGCGCCACAACCCCAGAGUCAGCCAUGACUGGACCUAAUGGUCAGGGGUCCCUUUACCUUUACCUAAAGCAAGGAUCUAGUCAUCAAGCAGGCUGGCUGCUGCCCAGUACCAAUAUCCCGGCCUGCGUGAUGCGACAACAUUGAUGGGAAUGGCAGGAGUCUCAGGCUUGCUGCACUGCAAAUUGAUACUGUGGGCUAAACCUGCCCUGAGUGCGUAACAUACGUACCAGCUCCUGAACUCAACUGGGAGAAUGGCAGUGGUGGGGAACUGAGGACCUAAUGUCUCCCUGUCCCUUAGGAUUCUCCCUAGGCCACUCCUGCUCCCCAGUUGUGCCUUCCUUGAGAGCUUUUGCUCGGGUGGAAUUUUCCCUUGAACCCUGAUAAUGCCUUGUGAUCAAGGACAAAGAUGGGAGUGUGAUGGUGUGUGGGCAAAAUUUAUAUUCAUUGGUCACUGUUGGUGUGAAAUUUACUUUAUAUUACUAUUCACUCAAUAAGCAACCCAAUUACACACACACACACACACACACACACACACACACAAUUUUUAUUUAUUUAUUUUCCAUUUAGUUAUAUGCAUUCACAUCAUCCUUGUCCACUUUACUGCCCUGGCUCUUUAGAGCCUAUUGACUUCCUUCCCUCCUGCCUCACGGCUUUCAAAAUUAACCUUUGUAUCAUUGCAUUUUGUACAUUUUCCAAUCCUAAUUACACUCAUUACAAAAUGGCUCAAAAUUUAAAUAAAUAUAGAAAGGUAGAAAAUUUCUCAUUACGAGUCUUUAGACAACCUUGCUAGUGAUGUAAAUUGCUUACAAUAAUCUUUCAAAUAUUGUAUAAAUUUGCUCCAGUCCUUUUGGAAUACUUGAUCGUGCUGGUUUCAGAUUUUCCUGUCAGCUUCGCCAGUUCUGCAAAGUCCAUCAUCUUCAUCUGCCGCUCUUCUUUCGUUGGCACAUCUUCUUGUUUCCAUUUUUCGGCUAAAAGAAUUCUUGUCUUUUAUCUUUCCUUGGUAUCUCUUCACCCAGUAAAAAGGCUUCUGGUUUUUUUAACAAAAGUAUAUUUAAACAUUUUCUUUAACUCAUUAUAUACCAUUCAAUCUAAUUACACUUACAUAAGCUCACAAUGAGGAAGACCAAUUUGCUUUCACUGCAUUUGAGUAAAACUAUGCCAAGUAAAACUAUGGGGGACGCGGGUGGCGCUGUGGGUAAAACCUCAGUGCCUAGGACUUGCUGAUCGCAAGGUCGGCGGUUUGAAUCCCCGCAGCGGGGUGAGCUCCCGUCGUUUGGUCCCAGCUCCUGCCCACCUAGCAGUUCGAAAGCGCGUCAAAGUGCAAGUAGAUAAAUAGGUACUGCUUUAUAGCGGGAAGGUAAACGGCGUUUCCGUGUGCAGCGCUGGUGCUGGCUUGCCAGAUGCCGCUUGGUCACGCUGGCCACGUGACCCGGAAGUGUCUCCGGACUGCGCUGGCUCUCGGCCUCUUGAGCGAGAUGAGCGCGCAACCCUAGAGUCGGACACGACUGGCCCGUACGGGCAGGGGUACCUUUACCUUUACCUUUUAUGCCAAGCGUUACCAAAUUUUAAUUACAUUGAAUUAAAAACAAGCUAAAACUUAUGUAAGCAAAAAAGUGAAUUGGACCCAACACACACAUUUUUGUAGACAUUUCCUCCUAAUAUAUGCAUUUUUGCAAACAUUGUUUGGCUAGAGAACUGCAUCAAAUUUAUUUGAUAAGUAUGAAUUUUGGAGGAUAGUUGUAUUUUGGUUCUUGUUGCUUUGGAAAGUGCUGUUUGAUAUACUUUGUUGUUGUUUAGUCAUUUAGUUGUGUCUGACUCUUCAAGACCCCAUGGACCAGAGCACGCCAGGCACUUCUAUUAAGAAUAAUUUUUUAUUAACCGACCAAUCACAUCAAAUCAAACCAAAUUACAUAAAUUCCAAAUUACAGAGCCGAAUUUUAAACUUUUGUUGGGAGUACCCAUAUUUCAAGUUCCGAAGGGAUCCAAUCAACUUCUUGCUUCUUGCUGCUGUUUUAAUGUCCACAAAUCUAACCUUAUGAUGUUCACAGUACUAUCCAGUCCUUUCUUAUUAUUUUUCCACAUCUCUUGUUAUUUUCAUAUAUUUUUCCUUUCUCUUUGUGACCUUUGAUAGUCGCACGCCAGGCACUUCUGUCUUCCACUGUCUCCCGCAGUUUGGUCAGAAUCAUGUUUGUAGCUUCGAGAACACUGUCCAACCAUUUCGUCCUCUGUCGUCCCCUUCUCCUUGUGCCCUCCAUCUUUCCCAACAUCAGGGUCUUUUCCAAGGAGUCUUCUCUUCUCAUGAGGUGGCCAAAGUAUUGGAGCCUCAGCUUCAGGACCUGCCCUUCCAGUGAGCACUCAGGGCUGAUUUCCUUCAGAAUGGAUAGGUUUGAUUUUCUUGCAGUCCAUGGUACUCUCAAGAGUCUCCUCCAGCACCAUAAUUCAAAAGCAUCAAUACUAUUCUUCUUUAAAUUUGAACUGAAUUGAAUUGUUUCUCCAUCCCUAAGCCAUCUCCAAGACAUUGCAAAGAGGACCUGUGGCUCAGCUGUAAUAUCACACUUGAAGACUGGCAGGAACCUUGCAUAUAGGAAGAUAUACAAUAGUUGCUGUAAUUUUCCAUACCUGGGUACUACAAGUAGGUUACCGUCUUUUCAGCCCCACCCACCAGGACUUCAGUUUUCUGAAACUGCUGUUUGUUUUGUUUUGUUUGACAAUCCUUUGGAAUAUACUGCUAUCUUGUGGAAAGAGGGAGAAAUGCAACUUAAUAAUUCUUGCGAGGGAGGCUUGUUCCACUGAGAGAAUCCAUUGGAGGAUAAAGCACACUAAUUUGGCAAAAAUGGAGAGUCAAAUGAGAGUAGAAGGAGAGAAAAAAAGACAGUAACAGGGUAUGAAUACAGUGAACAGUAUUUGUAUUUUAUUUAUUUAUUUCAUGAAAUCCGUACACCGCUUGAUUGUAGAAUAUCUCAAAUUGGUAUUUUGCAUCAGUAAACAUUUUAAAGAUGAGCUCAGAUUUUUAAAAUGGUUCAAAGUAUCCUUUAUAUGAGCUAGAAAACAACAAAAAGCACAUUUUGACCACUGGUAUGAAUUAGCUGGAUAUAGCCUCCUGCCUUACAACACAGUCCUAACUCUGUUUAUUCAGAAGCAACUCCUCUAUGUUCAACAAUACGUUUCACAAUAGGGAAAACAUUGCAGGUGUGAAUAUGGGAGCACCCAAAUAAAUAGCCUUUAUUUAUGCCGUUUUGGACUAUCUCUUUGCAAAACUGUCUAAUUUACUGGCAUCUUUUGGUAGCAAACAGAAUAAGUCAAUCACACUUGAAUGCAAUGUUUUCAUUCUGCAAUUUCCAUACUUCCAUGCAUUUAUUACAAGGCAGUGACAAGUCAUAUCUCAACGGGACUUGAGAUACGUUUCUCCUCAGUUGAUGCUGACUAAGAUCCAGUAGCCAAUUGGCAGUUUUGAACCGAUGCUAUCAAAUUCUUUGAUCCCUCAAACUGUUUGAAAUUUCAUUUGAAUAUAUUACCCCCUCGUGCAUGUGCACUGGCGCCAGGUAUAUGGGGCACAAGGGGCUCCAGCCCCCUCCAUAUUUUGAAUCGGGGGCCCAGCCCCCCCAAUAUUGAGGGAGCUGACAUCCUUAGCAAGUACGCUACCUAUCCAAAUAUAAAGUUUGUGUAUUGUUGAUCAAUGCAUGGAUGUUACAGGUGAGGGCAGCAGAGAAAAUUACUAGUCCAGCCUCUGUCAACUGAUUCUACUGCUUUUCAGAAAAUCUGAGUUGGGUAGCGCAUUAAAUAAAUCCCAAAAACAAGCAUUUCAAAAGGGUGGCAUCUAUUUCCCCUCCAAUAUAUCUUUGGUAACUGGCACUAGUGAUUAAGCUUGCAUAGCUUGUCUGCUCCUAAUAGAUUUCGGCAGAGAUUUGCUGCAACCCACUUCAUCGGAAAUGAAACAAAUUUUGUAGCCCAACUGGGCUAUGCUUGCUGAUUAAGGAUUUGCAUAUUUGCACAUGAGAUUGUCUAUUUCAAUUUGGUGCAACUCAAACUGAAAUGUCGAAACACUUUCCAUCUGGUUUGUGCAUAACUCACUCGUAAGGUAGAGGAAGUGCGGCAACUGUGAAAACAGUCUUCGUACAGUAAGUAAUUGUUACCCAGGGAUCUUUCAAAACUACGCGAACACAGGAUACCAUCCUUGUAAACCACAGGCUUUCUUUCUGGAAGCAGAACUGCUUUAAUUGGAAAAACAGGUCAAUGAAGAAAACCGAAGAAUGCUUCCUCCCAGCAAAAUAAAAUAAAUUGAAAUAAAUGAAUGUAGGGAGCAGCUAUUGAGAGAGUGAUUUCCCUUGUGGAAAUUUCAUGGGUGGGAAUUUAAACUUCCCAUUUACUGCUGCCUUCCCAAUCAAAGCCCUAGCAAGACUUUUAACUUUUUGAAAAAUGUGGGAGAUCCAGUGUCAUACCUACUCCCAUCUCAUCCAGUUGCAUCUUUAUUAAUUGACUGGGUUUUAAAAGAAAGAGAGUGUUUGUUCAUUUUACUGAAAGUUAUAUUAUUAUUUUUUAAAAAACCCUAAUUGUACGGUGUUAUGUCAUGGACACAAGCCUUGUACAAGUUGAUGAGAUAGUGUCCAUUUGUUUACAUUCAUGUGCACUGAAAUCAACACACAUCCUCAGCACUGAGAGAUCAAACUUUGAAAAUUUGGGGGAUGACUGUUGAAAUGUAAAGAGAGGCAACUCUAAUGUACUAGUUUGCAAACUAAUAAGUCUUUCUUCCUUUUUAGAAAGGCAUCCCCCCCAAGAUUGCAAGCAAAUGAAAAUGGGGAUAAGACAAGGAGAGUCACUCACUAGGAUUAGAUAGCAGAAAACGGGAAUUACUUCUAUAAAAG